UACGUAGGGUGCGAGCGUUGUCCGGAAUUAUUGGGCGUAAAGGGCUCGUAGGCGGUUUGUCGCGUCGGGAGUGAAAUCCACUGGCUUAACUGGUGGCUUGCUUUCGAUACGGGCAGACUGGAGGUAUGCAGGGGAGAACGGAAUUCCUGGUGUAGCGGUGAAAUGCGCAGAUAUCAGGAGGAACACCGGUGGCGAAGGCAGGUCUCUGGGCCGAUACUGACGCUGAGGAGCGAAAGCGUGGGGAGCGAACAGG
rnacentral:rRNA from 1 species